UCUUUUAUAAGCUAAUUCUCUUAAAGCUAUUGGACUCAUAAUCCAAAAAUAGGAUUUUACCUUAAAAGAA
rnacentral:tRNA from 1 species